GACGAACGCUGGCGGCGUGCCUAAUACAUGCAAGUCGAACGCUUUUUCUUUCACCGGAGCUUGCUCCACCGAAAGAAAAAGAGUGGCGAACGGGUGAGUAACACGUGGGUAACCUGCCCAUCAGAAGGGGAUAACACUUGGAAACAGGUGCUAAUACCGUAUAACACUAUUUUCCGCAUGGAAGAAAGUUGAAAGGCGCUUUUGCGUCACUGAUGGAUGGACCCGCGGUGCAUUAGCUAGUUGGUGAGGUAACGGCUCACCAAGGCAACGAAGCAUGGCCGACCUGAGAGGGUGAUCGGCCACACUGGGACUGAGACACGGCCCAGACUCCUACGGGAGGCAGCAGUAGGGAAUCUUCGGCAAUGGACGAAAGUCUGACCGAGCAACGCCGCGUGAGUGAAGAAGGUUUUCGGAUCGUAAAACUCUGUUGUUAGAGAAGAACAAGGAUGAGAGUAAAAUGUUCAUCCCUUGACGGUAUCUAACCAGAAAGCCACGGCUAACUACGUGCCAGCCGCCGCCGUAA
rnacentral:rRNA from 1 species